rnacentral:rRNA from 1 species
AACGAACGCUGGCGGCAUGCCUAACACAUGCAAGUCGAACGAGACCUUCGGGUCUAGUGGCGCACGGGUGCGUAACGCGCGGGAAUCUGCCCUUAGGUUCGGAAUAACUCAGGGAAACUUGAGCUAAUACCGGAUGAUGACUUCGGUCCAAAGAUUUAUCGCCUGAGGAUGAGCCCGCGUAGGAUUAGCUUGUUGGUGAGGUAAAGGCUCACCAAGGCGACGAUCCUUAGCUGGUCUGAGAGGAUGAUCAGCCACACUGGGACUGAGACACGGCCCAGACUCCUACGGGAGGCAGCAGUGGGGAAUAUUGGACAAUGGGCGAAAGCCUGAUCCAGCAAUGCCGCGUGAGUGAUGAAGGCCUUAGGGUUGUAAAGCUCUUUUACCCGGGAUGAUAAUGACCGUACCGGGAGAAUAAGCUCCGGCUAACUCCGUGCCAGCCGCCGCGGUAAAAC